rnacentral:rRNA from 1 species
UACGUAGGGGGCAAGCGUUGUCCGGAAUUAUUGGGCGUAAAGCGCGCGCAGGCGGCGAUUUAAGUCUGGUGUUUAAACCUUGGGCUCAACCUGGGGUCGCACUGGAAACUGGGUGGCUUGAGUACAGAAGAGGAAAGUGGAAUUCCACGUGUAGCGGUGAAAUGCGUAGAGAUGUGGAGGAACACCAGUGGCGAAGGCGACUUUCUGGGCUGUAACUGACGCUGAGGCGCGAAAGCGUGGGGAGCAAACAGG